rnacentral:rRNA from 1 species
UACGGAGGGGGCAAGCGUUAUCCGGAAUUAUUGGGCGUAAAGCGUCCGCAGGUGGCAUCUCAAGUCUGCUGUCAAAGCCCGGGGCUUAACCCCAGAAAGGCAGUGGAAACUGAAGCGCUAGAGUGCAGUAGGGGUAGAGGGAAUUCCCGGUGUAGCGGUGAAAUGCGUAGAGAUCGGGAAGAACAUCGGUGGCGAAAGCGCUCUGCUGGACUGCAACUGACACUCAGGGACGAAAGCUAGGGGAGCGAAUGGG